GCCUGCGCUGCUCGGGCACCCGCGCCGGAAGGCUGUGAGCCUGCGCUGCUCGGGCACCCGCGCCGGAAGGCUGUGCGCCGCUGGGGACGCGCGCGCUGCCUUAGUGCGGGGCACCCGGGGCGCGUCGGUCCUAUUACCUCCUCCGCUCUCACCCACCGGGUGCAAGACUCAGAAAGGGCAUAGCGAACGCCUCUGGGGCCUGAUGUGAAAGAAUGAGUCAUUGGUUUUCAGUGAAGUUCUUUCUGGAGCAGGGAGAUGGGGGUGAUUUGGCAACGCUUUGAGGUUGCCGUAACUCGGAAGGCUUUGCAGCUGUUUCGUUUUUCCACGCCCCACCCCCAACCACCGGAAGCCAAACUCCAACCCGAGAGGAGGUUGCCAGGCAACACUUGAGAGUUGUCUUCUGGGAGCGGGGCCAGACGCUGGCCUAGCACCUAAGUACAUUCCAGGUGAAUAAAAACUGUAAAUGCAACGAGUGAAACCAUAAAAAAUAUCUGAAGGAAUAAAGAAACACACUACAUAAUCCUGAAGACUUGGGGAGAGUGUCUUGCCGUUACAGCAAAGCCAGAAAACGUAAAAUACUGAUUUGUUCGCAAAAGACUCCCUAAAGCAAGUUGGGG